AUUGAACGCUGGCGGCAGGCCUAACACAUGCAAGUCGAGCGGAUGACGGGAGCUUGCUCCUUGAUUCAGCGGCGGACGGGUGAGUAAUGCCUAGGAAUCUGCCUGGUAGUGGGGGACAACGUUUCGAAAGGAACGCUAAUACCGCAUACGUCCUACGGGAGAAAGCAGGGGACCUUCGGGCCUUGCGCUAUCAGAUGAGCCUAGGUCGGAUUAGCUAGUUGGUGAGGUAAUGGCUCCCCAAGGCGACGAUCCGUAACUGGUCUGAGAGGAUGAUCAGUCACACUGGAACUGAGACACGGUCCAGAGUCCUACGGGAGGCAGCAGUGGGGAAUAUUGGACAAUGGGCGAAAGCCUGAUCCAGCCAUGCCGCGUGUGUGAAGAAGGUCUUCGGAUUGUAAAGCACUUUAAGUUGGGAGGAAGGGCAGUAAGUUAAUACCUUGCUGUUUUGACGUUACCAACAGAAUAAGCACCGGCUAACUCUGUGCCAGCAGCCGCCGUAA
rnacentral:rRNA from 1 species